AGAUCCAGCAUGGUGUAGUGGUCUGAGCAUUGGAUUAUGACUCUGGAGGCCAGGGUUUGAUCCCCUGCUUGGAUCUG